CUCGUAGGUGGUUUGUCGCGUUGUUCGUGAAAACUCACAGCUUAACUGUGGGCGUGCGGGCGAUACGGGCAGACUAGAGUACUGCAGGGGAGACUGGAAUUCCUGGUGUAGCGGUGAAAUGCGCAGAUAUCAGGAGGAACACCGAUGGCGAAGGCAGGUCUCUGGGCAGUUACUGACGCUGAGGAGCGAAAGCAUGGGUAGCGAACA
rnacentral:rRNA from 1 species